rnacentral:rRNA from 1 species
AGAGUUUGAUCCUGGCUCAGAUUGAACGCUGGCGGAAUGCUUUACACAUGCAAGUCGAACGAUGAACCUUAGCUUGCUAAGGGGAUUAGUGGCGAACGGGUGAGUAAUAUAUCGGAACGUGCCUUGUAAUGGGGGAUAACUAGUCGAAAGAUUAGCUAAUACCGCAUACGCCCUGAGGGGGAAAGUAGGGGAUCUUCGGACCUUACGUUAUAAGAGCGGCCGAUAUCUGAUUAGCUAGUUGGUGGGGUAAUGGCCUACCAAGGCGACGAUCAGUAGCUGGUCUGAGAGGACGACCAGCCACACUGGAACUGAGACACGGUCCAGACUCCUACGGGAGGCAGCAGUGGGGAAUUUUGGACAAUGGGCGCAAGCCUGAUCCAGCCAUUCCGCGUGAGUGAAGAAGGCCUUCGGGUUGUAAAGCUCUUUCGCAAGGGAAGAAAACUUACAUUCUAAUAAAGUGUGAGGCUGACGGUACCUUGAUAAGAAGCACCGGCUAACUACGUGCCAGCAGCCGCGGUAAUACGUAGGGUGCGAGCGUUAAUCGGAAUUACUGGGCGUAAAGCGUGCGCAGGCGGUUUGGCAAGUCAGAUGUGAAAUCCCCGAGCUCAACUUGGGAACUGCGUUUGAAACUGCCAGACUAGAAUAUGUCAGAGGGGGGGUAGAAUUCCACGUGUAGCAGUGAAAUGCGUAGAGAUGUGGAGGAAUACCAAUGGCGAAGGCAGCCCCCUGGGAUAAUAUUGACGCUCAUGCACGAAAGCGUGGGGAGCAAACAGGAUUAGAUACCCUGGUAGUCCACGCCCUAAACGAUUGUCUACUAGUUGUUUGGUGGAGUAAAAUCCAUGAGUUACGCAGCUAACGCGUGAAGUAGACCGCCUGGGGAGUAACGGUCCGCAGGAUUAAACUCAAAUGAAUUGACGG